rnacentral:rRNA from 1 species
GAUGAACGCUGGCGGCGUGCCUAACACAUGCAAGUCGAGCGCGGUUGUGCUUAGUAUUGAGUGUUUUAUUGAUAUAAAACAUUGAAUUCUAUGCACAACUGAGCGGCGGACGGGUGAGUAACGCGUGGGUAACCUGCCCUAUACACAUGGAUAACAUACUGAAAAGUUUACUAAUACAUGAUAAAAUAGUUUUUCGGCAUCGAAGAAUUAUCAAAGUGUUAGCGGUAUAGGAUGGACCCGCGUCUGAUUAGCUAGUUGGUGAGAUAACUGCCCACCAAGGCAACGAUCAGUAGCCGACCUGAGAGGGUGAUCGGCCACAUUGGAACUGAGACACGGUCCAAACUCCUACGGGAGGCAGCAGUGGGGAAUAUUGCACAAUGGGCGCAAGCCUGAUGCAGCAACGCCGCGUGAACGAUGAAGGUCUUCGGAUCGUAAAGUUCUGUUGCAGGGGAAGAUAAUGACGGUACCCUGUGAGGAAGCCCCGGCUAACUACGUGCCAGCAGCCGCGGUAAUACGUAGGGGGCUAGCGUUAUCCGGAUUUACUGGGCGUAAAGGGUGCGUAGGUGGUCUUUCAGUCGGUGGUUAAAGGCUACGGCUCAACCGUAGUAAGCCUCCGAAACUGUUAGACUUGAGUGCAGGAGAGGAAAGUGGAAUUCCCAGUGUAGCGGUGAAAUGCGUAGAUAUUGGGAGGAACACCAGUAGCGAAGGCGGCUUUCUGGACUGCAACUGACACUGAGGCACGAAAGCGUGGGUAGCAAACAGGAUUAGAUACCCUGGUAGUCCACGCCGUAAACGAUGAGUACUAGGUGUCGGGGGUUACCCCCCUCGGUGCCGCAGCUAACGCAUUAAGUACUCCGCCUGGGGAGUACGCACGCAAGUGUGAAACUCAAAGGAAUUGACGGGGACCCGCACAAGUAGCGGAGCAUGUGGUUUAAUUCGAAGCAACGCGAAGAACCUUACCUAAGCUUGACAUCCCUCGGACCGGUGUUUAAUCACACCUUUCCUUCGGGACUGAGGAGACAGGUGGUGCAUGGUUGUCGUCAGCUCGUGUCGUGAGAUGUUGGGUUAAGUCCCGCAACGAGCGCAACCCUUGUCUUUAGUUGCCAUCAUUAAGUUGGGCACUCUAGAGAGACUGCCAGGGACAACCUGGAGGAAGGUGGGGAUGACGUCAAAUCAUCAUGCCCCUUAUGCUUAGGGCUACACACGUGCUACAAUGGGUGGUACAGAGGGUUGCCAAACCGUGAGGUGGAGCCAAUCCCUUAAAGCCACUCUCAGUUCGGAUUGUAGGCUGAAACUCGCCUACAUGAAGCUGGAGUUACUAGUAAUCGCAGAUCAGAAUGCUGCGGUGAAUGCGUUCCCGGGUCU